rnacentral:rRNA from 1 species
AUUGAACGCUGGCGGCAGGCCUAACACAUGCAAGUCGAACGGUAACAGGAAGACGCUUGCUUCUUUGCUGACGAGUGGCGGACGGGUGAGUAAUGUCUGGGAAACUGCCUGAUGGAGGGGGAUAACUACUGGAAACGGUAGCUAAUACCGCAUAACGUCGCAAGCCCAAAGAGGGGGACCUUCGGGCCUCUUGCCAUCGGAUGUGCCCAGAUGGGAUUAGCUAGUAGGUGGGGUAACGGCUCACCUAGGCGACGAUCCCUAGCUGGUCUGAGAGGAUGACCAGCCACACUGGAACUGAGACACGGUCCAGACUCCUACGGGAGGCAGCAGUGGGGAAUAUUGCACAAUGGGGGCAAGCCUGAUGCAGCCAUGCCGCGUGUAUGAAGAAGGCCUUCGGGUUGUAAAGUACUUUCAGCGGGGAGGAAGGGAGUAAAGUUAAUACCUUUGCUCAUUGACGUUACCCGCAGAAGAAGCACCGGCUAACUACGUG